UACGUAGGUGGCAAGCGUUGUCCGGAAUUAUUGGGCGUAAAGAGCUCGUAGGUGGCUUGUUGCGUCUGCCGUGAAAGCCCGUGGCUUAACUACGGGUCUGCGGUGGAUACGGGCAGGCUAGAGGCUGGUAGGGGCAAGCGGAAUUCCUGGUGUAGCGGUGAAAUGCGUAGAUAUCGGGAGGAAUACCAGUGGCGAAGGCGGCUGCCUGGCCUGUUCUUGACGCUGAGGCGCGAAAGCUGGGGGAGCAAACGGG
rnacentral:rRNA from 1 species